AGAUUGCGAUGGCACAAACAGCUUUCGGCACAAUGGCAGAUCAAGAGAGAGGCAGAGAAAAUGAGGCAGAGAGAGAAUGGGAGCCUGAAUGAAUCUGAACAAGCCCAGCUCUUUCAGCCUGUCUUCACAGGAGAUGCAUUCCAGCUCUCUGAUCACCUUUGUGGCCCUCCUCUGGACCCCCUCCAAAAGCUCAGCUAUUUUUCCACUGUUGGAGGCCCCAGACCUGGUUGCAAUACUCCAGAUGGUGCCUCAGAAUGGCAGAAUAGAGGGAACAUCACGUCCCUCUCCCUGCUGACCACCCCUCUUCUGAUGCAGCCCAGGAUACUCGGCUACAAGUCCACACUGCUGUCUCAUGUUUAGCUUUUCAUCUACCAGGACCCCCAAGUCCCUUCCUGCAGGGCUACUCUCAAGGAUUUCUUCUUCCAGUCUGUAUACAUAUCUGGGAUUACCCCAACCCAAGUGCAAAACCUGGCACUUCGCUUUGUUGAAUAUAAUUAGGUUCACAUGGGCCCACCUCUUCAGUUUAUCAAGGUCAUGAGAGCGCAGAAUCUUAAUUUUGAAUUUGUAUGAUCUUGAACAUUAUCUUCUUUGUCCUCUUUGAACUAUUCUACAUUUAAAAUCACCUUAGCAUGAUGUUCUCCAUCAAUAAAACUACGUACUUUCUAUGUUCUUACCAAUGGCUGUUGGGGAAAUAAUUAAAGUCAUAUUUCAGCCUCUGAUGUAAGCAAUCCAAAGGCCAUGAAAGUCAAAGGGAACCUUGAAUACACUAGAAAGACUUCAAACGGACUUCGAUUCUCACACCACACUCACCAGUCAACAUCUUCAAUUUUUUGACACACAUGAAACUUACGUAUGCCAGAUUUUAAACCAACAUUUGCAACAGCCUACCUCUUUCUGUAUGUUCAAAGUUUUAUCAGAACAAAUUUUAUUUGCUGUUAUGUGAAGAAGUUGAGAUUUGUACUUUUCUCUUCGUAGAAAAGCAGGUUUUGAUACAGACAUCUAGAACUGUAUACAAACAAGAGCCAAGAAAGGAGGCAUUUUCUUUACGCCACCUCUAAACUAGCCAACAUACUGAAGUUCAAAGGAGGACUUUAUCCCAUUAGUUUUCCUUUCAACAGUAACUACUGAUUACACUACAACCAAAUUAUGAAUUCCCCUCUAUAAAUAUACUGCGUGAAAGAAAGAUGGGGAGCCCCUAUUUUUUAAGGGGAAACAAUAUUUCUGUGUGUGUGUGUGUUCAGGGCUAACGAGCCAACACCAUCUGCAAGACUGGAAUAUUUUCACACUCCUUUCUAUUAUACAAAACAAUAAACCCUCUCCAGCUGAUUUCUUUCACUGUAGAAUGCAAAUUGCCUACAAAAGACCUCAGGGUGUGAGAAGACACUUAUCAAACAGAUAUUACACAUGCUCUCAUACCAAGUAUGCUAUCAACUAAACAAUUUAAAAUAUAUUAAGGAUAAAAAGGUAUCAACAAACCUGCUUUUUUGUGGUUAUAAUAAUUAUGAUCUGAAGCACCUCUGUUUGUCAAGCCAUUGCUUAGGAUAUGAAUCUUCCUCACUUUAGGUCUAAGGCAGCAUCUGCCUCAUGCCAAGUGCAGAAAUAAGUUUUGAUUAAAAGAGCUGAAAAUGAAAUUAACUAAUUUCAGUCCUUUAAAAUGUGGUAAAAGGGAGUACUUUCACCUUAAAACAACAGAUGCAAUAACAGAACACCAAAGAGCUUAUUGUAUAAAGCUAAACACACCCUUAAAGGAAUUGAGGUCAUUAACAUUUUGGUUUCCAAAAAUUAAAUUCAUUGUCAGUAACAGUGCAGCACUGGCACAGGUUGCCCAGAGAGGUGAUGGGUGCUCCAUCCCUGGAGACAUUCAGGGUCAGGCUGGAUGGGGCUACGAGCAUGUGACUGAGCUGUAGGUGUCCCCGUUCAUUGCAGGGCUGCUGGACAACAUGACCUUUAAAGGCCUCUUCCAACUCCAAAAAUUCUAUGAUUCUAUGAAGCAUCGCCAUGAAGGAAACCAUUUUUCAAGUUUGACUGCAAGAUCUUUCCUACUCAAGCAAUUCUGUGUAUCAGAUGUAGACCUUUAAAAAUGGGGUCUGGGAGAAGUAACAGGCUUAGCAGAAAAAAAAACACGUUGUGCUUGAGAAGUUUAUGGUGAUAGUACUGAUCCAACCACUGAGUACCACAGUAUGGGCUGGUUUUAUGUCAAUUACUUUGCUUUUAAAGGAAAAAAAGUCACUGCAAUGACUAACAGUGGAGUUGUCUACAACCAGAAAUUCAACUUCCUUGUUCUUACAGGGAAGCAAUUAAGAUCCAAUCAUUUUUAAUGCAUCAUAAAUAAUCUUCACACUUGCUGUUAAGUUAAUUAAUAUAAUCAGUAAUGCCAAACACAUCAAAAUGAAACUUAUUUUGCAAACAUGCAAAAUGUUCUGCCUCAUUGCCUCUCUAUCAAAAUUAAAUGUCAUUUUGCU
ensembl:lncRNA